CACGUAGGGUGCAAGCGUUGUCCGGAUUCAUUGGGCGUAAAGGGCUAGUAGGCGGCUUAGCAAGUCGGGUGUGAAAACUUCAGGCUCAACCUGGAGCGGCCAUCCGAUACUGCUACGGCUAGAGUCCGGUAGGGGACCACGGAAUUCCUGGUGUAGCGGUGAAAUGCGCAGAUAUCAGGAGGAACACCGGUGGCGAAGGCGGUGGUCUGGGCCGGAACUGACGCUGAAUAGCGAAAGCAUGGGUAGCGAACAGG
rnacentral:rRNA from 1 species